rnacentral:rRNA from 1 species
UUGGCCUACGGGGGGCAGCAGUGGGGAAUAUUGCACAAUGGGGGAAACCCUGAUGCAGCGACGCCGCGUGAGUGAGGAAGGAUUUCGGUAUGUAAAGCUCUUUCAGCAGGGGAGAAAAUGACGGUACCUGACUAAGAAGCCCCGGCUAACUACGUGCCAGCAGCCGCGGUAAUACGUAGGGGGCAAGCGUUAUCCGGAUUUACUGGGUGUAAAGGGAGCGUAGACGGCUAAUCAAGUCAGAAGUGAAAACCCAGGGCUCAACCUUGGGAGUGCUUUUGAAACUGAGUAGCUAGAGUGAAGGAGAG